UGCGUGCGUGCGUGCGUACCCGAAGUUAACUAUUUAGUUUCUUUGUUGCCUCUUUUACUAUAAAAUCUAUCUCAUGCUGAAGUCAAUGGGAAAGAUAUCUACAGCCGCUGCUGUCUCCUAAGGCUCCUUCAGAAUCACAGUUGUGGUGAAACAUGGAACGCUCCCUACAGGAUUAUAUACAAUGUGACCAGUCAUAUAACACUCACGUCCUUGCUUGCCCUGAUGGGCUGGAGCUCUCCACGUAGAAGCAAUAAUAAACCCGUCCUAUCUUAAGUGCUUCUUGCCAUGGAUUUGAUCACAGCAACAAGAAACUUCCUGACACAGAGCCCGAGGCAUGGAUGAGAAACACUGCAGCGCCUCUUCCAGCCUUCCAUGGCCAACACGACGUCGUUUGUCGUUGCCAGCACCAUAGGCUGCAACAAACCAAGGAGAAUGCUGGCCAGGCUCAACGGGGACCCCAGUCUGUCCCUAAUGGAUGGCAAAGCCACAUUCACAGCCAAGUGCUCUCCCCUUCCUCCACCCUUCCCUUCUCCUUCCUUCCUUCCACACCACAAACCUGGUCAAAGAUUAGGUACAUGACAAACUGGCCCAAUUUAAGGCAUAGAACUUGAUGAACUUUGACCUGUCUAUAUGCUUCUAAAACCAACACCACCAUCAAGAGGACUGACCUUUCCAUACCAGAGUGUCACCUUGUCCCUUCCUCUCCGAUCACUCAUCUAUCUGCUGUCCUCGUGUAUUGGUUUGUACCAUCUAGAACUUUCCACAGAUGGAGUCGUCAAUGUCACCUCCUUACUCUCCAGUCCUCUCGGUGUAAUGGCCCGGAAAAUGUUCCAUAGUGUGUUGUGUAUCAGUACCUCAUCCCGUUUGUCAGCCUUCUGCUCUCUGGAUACACCACAGUUUGCUGAACUAUUUACCUACUAAAGAGCCCAUUUGGACAAUUAAAACUUCUCUGUUUGUACACA